rnacentral:lncRNA from 1 species
CCCACCUUCCGGCCUCACUUGAGAUGUGAUCUUCUCUGACCAUCUUAGCUGAAGUUGGCCUCCUCUCCCUUAAUCUCCAUUGAGCUAAACAGUUUCUUUCAUCUAGAACUUACUAUAGUAAUUAUGUGUUUACUAGUUCACUGUCUGGAAUCGUUUACCCUAGAGCAGUCUACGAUGUAAAGCCAGGAUGGUCAAACUACAGCGCAAGCUUUGUUUUUGCAAAGCUCUGGAGCUUCCCUCUCUGCUGGUCACUCAUUCUUCUCUCUCCUGCUGCCAUAUGAAAAAGGACCCGUUUCCUUCCCCUUCUGCCAUGAUUGGACCUGGGAGUGCGACAUGGUGGCCUCAGGGGAAAAGGGCUCUCGUCUAGACCUUCUGACUGUCCUCUGGAUCUUCCUGGUGUCCAUGCGGGGCUGCUGCUCUGGGCUGGCCCCAGGGCCUUUGGCCAGUGUCCAUGAGACCCGGAAUUCCAGCAACCAGUUUGACAACUCCUACAGAGAAACAGGAUCCACAUAAGGAUACAGCUUCUUCAUAUCCCUGUCCCAUGACUUCACCCUGCGUUCUUCAACCAAUCAAUGUGUCAGGCCUCUGAGCCCAGGCCUGCACGUAUACAUCCAGAUGGCAUGAAGUAACUGAGGAAUCACAAAAGAAGUGAAACUGGCCGGUUCCUGCCUUAACUGAUGACAUUACCUUGUGAAAUUCCUUCUCCUGGCUCAUCUGGGCUCAGAAGCUCCUCCACUGAGCACCUUGUGACCCCCCACCCCUGUCCGCCAGAGAGCAACCCCCUUUGACUGUAAUUUUCCACUACCUACCCAAAUCCUGUGAAAUGGCCCCACCCCAUCUCCCUUCACUGACUCUAUUUUCGGACUCCG